AUGAUCCACCUUUUCUUUCACUCGCCUCUCCUCCAGCAAAUCUAUAAUGCAUUUAAUCUUCAGCAGUCACUCUCCUCAGUUUUUAAAUGUCUAAUUUGCUGCCGAGUGCAGCUCCAAUUCUCUCUGUGCCGCCGUUUUAACUCUCUGCCUUGUGUUUGCCCAAUUGCUUGUCUGCUUGGAUGGAGAGACCCGACUGCACCUGAUCCUUCGGAGAGAGGGAGGGGGAGAGAAGCUUACCGGAGGGCAGAGACUUCGCAGCGUCGUUGUCCAGGCAAACACCUUGGUGCUUUGGGAGACUACCUGCUUUGCUCACACCACAGCCAGCAGGCUGCUGUCAAGCAAGGCUUUCCCCUGUGCCAAGAGCAGGCUCCCCAGCCCUCGGCUGGCUGGAGCAGGCGUGCGGUGCCUGGGCCAUGCUGCCAGCACUGGCACGAAGCCUCCUUCAGCCCACAGCAAGGCAGGAGGUGGGGAUGGUUUCACCAAACCUCGUGGGUUUGUUCCCAAGCGCCCAGACUCGCUCUGACCCUUCCAAGGCUGCUCAGGCAGAACCUGUCCCCAGGAGCCCCCACCCCAGCCCUGGCAGCCCCUGACUGCUCUUCCUCUGUGCCCCACCAUCAUCCCCACUCAACCCGAGCAACCCAGUGUCACUGCUGUAACUGGCAGCCCCCAGCAUACUGGGGAUGCUGGGCACUGCCCUCCCACCCCACCUGUGCUCCCAGCUGCGGCCACUUCUCUGCCCCAUCUGAGAGCACUCAGCACCAGCCUGCGUGCCUGCUGCCAGCUGUGGGUGUUAAUGCCCUCUGCAGGGGCUGGUGGUGUGGCUGUUUGGGACUGCUCUGCAGGAUGCUGAGGGCAGCUGGAGCAUGGACCUGACUCAGACUUAGAUGUACCUGUGUGACUAGGUAAGGCUUAAUGAGAGCUGUGGGGGAAAAAUGCUCCAAGCUUCUUGCGUUCUUCUUUUCCUAGAACAUUGAAAUUUCAGAAGAUAGCUCAUAUACAUGAAAUUCUCCCUGUGUGAAGAAAAGUUUUCCUUACAAAGGAAAAAUCAUUUUGUCUUGAAUUGCAUGCUGCAAGUUAUUUUCUGAUUUUCUAAAGUGAAAUGCUGGCGACAGAAAAGCACUUUGAAAGGAGAAGGUGCUUGCAAGCUCCCCUCCGUGCUGUUCUGGGUCAAGGACUUUCUCAUGUCCUGCUUGUGCAGCACAGGGUACAAACGAGCUUGAACUUGGCUGAGCUAUUGGGGACAAGUCAAGCGUGAUGGUCUGCAACAAAAAAAUCCGAACAGGGCUGGCUUUCAAGGGUAAUGCAGUCGGCUUUGGAGCCAUGUGUCCCAACCUUCAGGCCACCUAGCCUUGGUAUGCUGGGGUCUCUGGAAAACUAGUUGAAAAUCCAGGCAGUGAUCUGUAGAGGAAGUUUGAAGGCAAAACGUGAAGCAAAAGAGUAGAAAACACAUCAGAAAUGAUGCUAGGUGGCUGGACCUUCCUCAAAAGCAAAGUGAGUCGUCAUUUAGGCUGCGGGCACUCCUGGGAGAGCAGCAAGGGCUGCAGCACCCCGAUCCCACUGACUGCCUCUGCCUUCCCUCCGGGCCCCUGCUCCUGGCAGCACCUCAGCGUUCAACAGCAUCUGAUGCUUUGCUGAAGGAAAGUGAUAAUUGCCUUUUUAUUCAUUUCAAUAGCAUCAUGAAACAUUAAAAUCGGAUUUGGUUGGUCACAUGGGAGCGUCAUCCAUCAGUGACUUGGUGUGCAAGAGCGCGCAAGAGAGUUUCUCCCACUGCAGGCAGAAGGCAUUAUUAAGGAAACUAAUCAUUAAAAAAAAUAGUACAAAUAACCUAGUUGUCUGGUGAGCCUAAUGGCUUUAUUUUCCCGUUCUCCAGCAUAAUGAGAGCAGUCUGGGCUGCUUGAAUCUGCCUCUCCAAGAGCCUAAUUGUUUUUAAAUGUCUUUGCUAACCACUUCACAUACAGCCCAUAAAUCUGGUUUGGGGUAACUGAGAGCCAGGCUUCUGAGCUCCCUUUUAGGAUGACACAUUUGUGUGUUAAUUAAAAACAUGCUUAGGAAGAUGUAAUCCUUCAGUCUUUAAACGUGUGGCUGUUUGCUGUGCUGGAGCAGGGUCUGGGUGUUGGGUUUCUGUCCUCAGCAGCUGAGAGCGAUGCAAAUUAUCCCGAGCAGCACAAUGACCACCUGCAGGGGCUCGGCGAAACAAAUGGUCCCAAACAAGUACUGAGGCGUUUUGUUCCUUGCUGUGAUAUAUCUGCCCUUAUUUUGAAGAUGUCUUUGGAGAUUUGGUGCUUGCAGCUACUGCAUCUACAGCCGUGGUUUGUUUUCCUUCCAAGUCAUUCCAUCAUGAUUAUGACGACAGAGAAGGUUGCUUUAUUUAAUGGUGCCCUGUGGCAUGACUGCAACGAUCCUUGAGCUCCUCUGCUAUUUCCAGAAAUAUUCUUUCCUGGAAGGUAUGUUCUUUGAAGCUAAACUGCAAAGAAAAUCUGAAGAGAGAAAGAUGAAGGGAAUAGAUAAAUACAUUUAGAUUUUGAACAGCGGAAUAAUAUAAAAUGAAACAAUGGAGACAAACAAUGAGAGGAGAGACUGAGCCUGCCACCUGAUUAUCUCCAGAUAAUGCAAAGGUGUUUCUGUACAGUCCACCACUGAGGACCUUGUCCACAUUAAUUUCAAAUUAUUUAAAAUAUAAAUUAAUUUCAAGAGGAGCAUGUGCUCCUUUUGGGUAUUUGGCACAUGGAGGAGACCAUAUCUCAGGCAGCUAGGAGACAGCAGAAGUACUGGGAUGAUGGUCGGUGUCUCCUGUAGCUCAUUCUCUGGCAUGCAGGAGGGCCUGCAGCAGCUCCAUGUCUCCUGCUGCCACAGCCUGGGACCGCCAGGCUUGCAGUGCUGCUUGCAGCGUGUGGCAGACUGGGGUUUCAAGAGGACAUGGGCAAAGCGUUGGCUCCUGCAGCUUCCCACCCAGCUCUCCUGCCCGAAGAGGAGCACCCGGCUGUUUGGGCUGCUCUGAUAACACUGCAUUCAUUUAAAAACCACAGAUACAUCCUUUAAUUAAAUUUGGCCUGUGUUUUCCCCUGUUAAAUUAAAUGAUGUCUGAAAUGUGUUGUGACUUUGAACCUUGGGCUGCAUUUAACCUCAAACAGCAGGAAAAUAUCACAUUUUUUUUCAAACUACAUGCUGAAUUUUCUCCUUCUUGGAAGCUGAAAUAUUAACUGUAUCUGUUUCGACACAAUUUUGUUUCAAUUGCCCCUUUACCUGAACUGUGAGAUGAAGCUAAUGCAAAGGGAUAUAAAUCAGGCACGACUUCCAAACAGUUUUCUUUUAAGCAGCCCGUUAUACAUUAACCUGCAAGACGACAUGUUUUAAGAGAACCUUGUUCAGUACCUCAGAAAAGUCAAAUUAACAUAAUAUCUGGAAAAGAACAAUGGGAAUAAAAAAAAUGUUAGUCACUGUUGAUUGAACA
rnacentral:lncRNA from 1 species